UCCGGGGUGGUUGCUAAGAUGUUGCUAGGUGGUUGCUAAGGUGUUGCUAUGCGGUUGCUAAGGUGUUGCUAUGGUAUCUGGGGUGGUUGCUACGGUGUUGCUAGGUGGUUGCUAAGGUGUUGCUAGGUGGUUGCUAAGGUGUUGCUAUGGUAUCUGGGGUGGUUGCUAAGGUGUUGCUAGGUGGUUGCUAAGUGGUUGCUAGGUGGUUGCUAAGGUAUUGCUAGGUGGUUGCUAAGGUGUUGCUAUGGUAACCGGGGUGGGUGCUAAGGUGUUGCUAGGUGGUUGCUAGGUGGUUGCUAAGGUGUUGCUAGGUGGUUGCUAAGGUGUUGCUAUGGUAUCUGGGGUGGUUGCUAAGGUGUUGCUAGGUGGUUGCUAGGCAGUUGCUAUCAUUUCUAAAGUGGUUGCUAGGCAGUUGCUAACGUUUUCCUAAUGGUUGCUAAGGUGUUGGUAAGUGGUUGCUAGGCAGUUGCUAUAAUUUCUAAAGUGGUUGCUAAGUGGUUGCUAGGCAGUUGCUAACGUUUUCCAGGUGGUUGCUAAGGUGUUGCUAAGUGGUUGCUAGGCAGUUGCUAUCGUUUCUAAAGUGGUUGCUAAGUGGUUGCUAGGCAGUUGCUAACGUUUUCCAUGUGGUUGCUAAGUGGUUGCUAG